AUACGUAGGGGGCGAGCGUUAUCCGGAUUUAUUGGGCGUAAAGCGUGUGUAGGCGGUUUGUUAAGUUUAAGAUUAAAGCCCGAGGCUUAACCUCGGUUCGUCUUAAAAACUGGCAGACUUGAGUGCAGUAGAGGCAAGUGGAAUUUCUAGGGUAGCGGUUAAAUGAGUUGAUAUUAGAAGGAACACCAGUGGCGAAGGCGGCUUGCUGGGCUGUUACUGACGCUGAGACACGAAAGCGUGGGGAGCAAAUAGGAUUAGAUCCCCUAGUAGUCCACGCCGUAAACGAUGAGUACUAAGUGUCGGGUAACCGGUGCUGAAGUUAACACAUUAAGUACUCCGCCUGAGUAGUACGGUCGCAAGGCUGAAACUCAAAUGAAUUGACGGGG
rnacentral:rRNA from 1 species